UACAGAGGGGCAAGCGUUAUUCGGAAUUAUUGGGCGUAAAGGGCGCGUAGGCGGCCUGGCAAGUGGAAGGUGAAACUCCCUCGGCUUAACCGAGGAACUGCCUCCCAAACUGCUUGGCUUGAGACCGGGAGAGGUGAGUGGAAUUCCCAGUGUAGCGGUGAAAUGCGUAGAUAUUGGGAGGAACACCAGUGGCGAAGGCGGCUCACUGGACCGGUACUGACGCUGAUGCGCGAAAGCGUGGGGAGCAAACGGG
rnacentral:rRNA from 1 species